ensembl:lncRNA
CUUUAUAUAAUAAAUUCAGCUUUAAUAACAUGGAUGAAUAAUCGCUCUGGAUUAACCCUACAAAGUUAUGUACAAUAUUCAAAACAUGUCUAAAAUGUAUUUUUUAUGAUUAAAAUACACUGUAAAAAAUAAGUGUCAUUUUAACUGUACAAUUUUGUAAAAACGCUACAAAAAAAAGUGUUAAUAGGUUAACAGUAAGUUCCUGUACUAUAUACAGGGAAAAACUGUAAAAGAUCUAACCAGACAUUUCAUGUAAUUUUACAGUAAAAUGCUGUUAAUUUUACAGUUUUUAGAAAUAAAAAAAGAACAAAUCAAUGUAUAAUUUACAGUCAAAAACUGUAAACUGAUAUUCCCAGAAUUCCCUGUGUGACGCUCCACAUUUGAAAGUAUUUUGUUUAAAUAAUCAUGUUUUUUAAUAGUUUUUUGUUAUCAGUUGUACAUUUGGGCUUUAUGUUACAUCUUCUGCUGUUUAAUGAAAGUUUAUUGAAUUGUUUAAGUAUCGUGUGUCACCAUGAUGGUGUUUUGUGUUUGCAUGAAUGACUUUGUGCACCUUCUAUAUAUUAAUAUAAACUUCUGCUUGUGGCGAAGCUACUUGUGAUGAACUUCGAUUCUUCAUGUGGCUUUCUCUUUUACCACCUGCAUUAUUAUGGUGGUUGUCAGUAUGUUAAAGGUACAAAACAGAUUUUAAUAGCAGUGUGCGUUGUUGAAUUUACUGGUUUACAUUAAAAUUUUCUUGUUUGUAAAUAACAGUUUUAUACUGUAAAAUUUACAGUUUUUGGCCGUAAUUGUGUUUACAGUUUUUCUGUAUUUUUUACAAAAGUAUUCUGGCAACCACAGCUGCCAAAAUUAUUUUGUAAAAACUACAGACUUUUUUUUACAGUGUAUAACUAGUUUAGUAUUGUAGUUAACUGCAUUAACUGUUAAUAAAUGUAUCUUCUUGUACUGUCUCACCAUAUUAAUAAGAGUGUUUAUCUGUUUAUUCAGGUGAGGCCACAGAUAGAGAAGAUGAAAGAAGAUAAUUGGAAGAUUUACAUUCCUGUGGUCUACUCUCAGAUUGUGAAUGGAAUGAACUAUGUGGUCAAGGUGUUGGUUGAUGAACAUGGGGAUGGAGUGUGUGUUCAUGCAAUGAUAAAACUUUCCUGUAAUGGAGGGGAACUGAGUGUGACUGGAAUCCAGUUCCAUAAAAAGUUUGAUGACCCACUGAUCCACUUCUGAAAACUUACAGAAAUAGUCUGUCUUUAUUUAAUAACAGACACAUGUAAUGAGAGGAACUAGUGAAAUAGUUUCAAUCCUCAAUAUUAAACUGUAUUCAAGUCCUCCAGUGUCAGUGUGUUUACUGAAAAAUAUCAAACUCACUUCACAAAUGUUUUACACUG